rnacentral:rRNA from 1 species
AUUGAACGCUGGCGGCAGGCCUAACACAUGCAAGUCGAACGGUAACACAGAGGAGCUUGCUCCUUGGGUGACGAGUGGCGGACGGGUGAGUAAUGUCUGGGAAACUGCCCGAUGGAGGGGGAUAACUACUGGAAACGGUAGCUAAUACCGCAUAACGUCUUCGGACCAAAGUGGGGGACCUUCGGGCCUCACACCAUCGGAUGUGCCCAGAUGGGAUUAGCUAGUAGGUGGGGUAAUGGCUCACCUAGGCGAGGAUCCCUAGCUGGUCUGGGGGCAUGGCCAGCCCAGCUGGAAAUGAGACCCGGUCCAGAGUCCUACGGGAGGCAGCUGUGGGGAAUAUUGCAGAGUGGGCGCAAGCCUGAUGGAGCCAUGCCGCGUGUAUGAAGAAGGCCUGCGGGUUGUAAAGUACUUUCAGCGGGGAGGAAGGCGUUAAGGUUAAUAACCUUGGCGAUUGACGUUACCCGCAGAAGAAGCACCGGCUAACUCCGUGCCAGCAGCCGCCGUAA